GUGCUGCUUGCUUCGGCAGCCCAUAUACUAAAAUUGGAACUAUACAGAGAAGAUUAGCAUGGCCCCUGCACAAAGAUGACACAAAAAAUCAUGAAGCAUUCAUAUUUUUG